GCAAUUGUUACUUGCUAAGCAAAAUAAUAAAUGGGUACAUUAUAUAAUAAAAUUGUGUUAAAUAGUCAUUAAAGGCAGAAAAGUUUCAGAUUAUAAAAACUACUCACACAUUUUAAAUAUACAUAUACUAUGUAUAGCCUUACAAAUGUACAUAUACGUUUAUAUAUGUAUAAUAUGUUAAAACAUAUAGUCACAUAGAUAAAAUAGUAAAAUUUGUUUGAUAAAAGAAUCUCAGCACCCAUCUGAACAAGAUUGAAGUCAUCUCACCAAAAAGGCAUCCACAGAUCAAGACAGUAAAGAACAAAAUUAUAGUAAAAUUUAAAAAUUCAAUAGGUACAUACUCUAAUAUUUACAAAACUUAUCAAGCAGACCAUUGAUCAUUGGCCACAUCGUUAUGGAUUCAGAUGAAGAUGCAUUAAAUGACAUAGAUUCUGGCAAUGAGUCUAGUGGAGACGAUGUGGACUUUGCUAUGGAAGUAGAUGUACGGCAUGAACGAGAAAAAAAUCAAGAUGUUGAUGAUUUUCCAUUUGAAGUAUUAUCUACAGACAAUAUUGUUCAACAUAUGAUUGACUGUAUCAAAGAAGUCAAUACUGUGCUGCAAAUGCCAGCAACAACUACACGCAUCUUAUUAAAUCAUUUUAAAUGGGAUAAAGAAAAAUUAAUGGAGCGCUUUUAUGAUGGGGAUCAAGAUAAAUUAUUUUCUGAAGCUAGAGUAAUAAAUCCUUUUAAAAGAACCCAACCAAUUAUUCAGAGGGUAAAACCUUCAUCAACGCGAAGAGGUACUUCUGGCAUGGAAGAUUGUGCAAUAUGUUUUGCAAAACUACCAUCAAAUAUGAUGACUGGUUUAGAAUGUAAUCAUAGAUUCUGCACACAAUGUUGGACAGAAUAUUUAACUACAAAAAUUAUUGAAGAAGGUGUUGGUCAAACAAUUGCUUGUGCUGCAAGUGGUUGUGAUAUAUUAGUAGAUGAUGUUACUGUAAUGCGAUUAGUUAGAGAUCCAAAAGUCCGGAUGAAAUACCAACAUUUAAUUACUAAUAGUUUUGUCGAAUGUAACCGAUUGCUACGUUGGUGUCCAUCACCCGAUUGCAACAAUGUCAUUAAAGCACAGUAUAUUGACUCAAAGCCAGUAAUUUGUAGAUGUCUACAUGUUUUUUGUUUUGUGUGUGGAGAAAAUUGGCAUGAUCCAGUUAAAUGUAAUUUAUUACGAAAAUGGAUUAAAAAAUGUGAUGAUGAUUCUGAAACUUCUAAUUGGAUAGCCGCUAAUACUAAAGAAUGUCCCAAGUGUAAUGUUACUAUAGAAAAAGAUGGUGGAUGUAAUCAUAUGGUUUGCAAAAAUCAAAAUUGCAAAACUGAUUUUUGUUGGGUAUGCCUUGGCCCAUGGGAACCUCAUGGAUCAUCAUGGUAUAAUUGCAAUCGUUAUGAUGAGGAAGAAGCUAAAGCUGCUAGAGAUGCCCAAGAAAGAUCUAGAGCUGCAUUACAAAGGUAUUUAUUUUAUUGUAAUCGCUACAUGAAUCAUAUGCAAUCACUGAAAUUUGAACACAAGUUAUAUGCCAGUGUUAAAGAAAAAAUGGAAGAAAUGCAACAACAUAAUAUGUCUUGGAUUGAGGUACAAUUCUUAAAAAAAGCUGUAGAUAUUCUAUGCCAAUGUAGGCAAACACUUAUGUACACUUAUGUAUUUGCCUAUUAUCUGAAAAAAAAUAACCAAUCCGUUCUCUUUGAAGAUAACCAACGAGAUUUAGAAAGUGCUACUGAAACACUUUCAGAAUAUUUAGAAAGAGAUAUUACAUCUGAGAAUCUAGCUGAUAUCAAACAGAAAGUUCAAGAUAAAUAUCGUUACUGUGAAAGUCGAAGAAAAGUAUUGCUAGAACAUGUUCAUGAAGGAUAUGAGAAAGAUUGGUGGGAUUACACAGAAAAAUUGUGAACUAGUCACAUAUAUCUGUGAUAUAUAUUAAUGAAACUAUAUGAUAAAAAUGUUCUAUAAAAGGAAAAUAAUGACAUUUCAUAAAAUAAAUUGCAAAUCUAUUAUAAAUUUUACAAAACAAUGACAUUUUAUUUGGAAUUAAUAUGAUAAGUUAUAUUUAUGAAGAGUGAUAUAUUAUAGGAAAUUGCAAAUUCAGUAGUAUCAGGAAUACAAAAUAUAUAUUUUAUUGAGAUAUAGUUAGAAUGAAUGUAUAACCAACAGCUGCAUUAUUUUAUUUAAGAGGAAAAGGUUUGUGUGUGAUUAGUCCAAUGAUGGACGGGAUAAGUGUUAUGGUUGGCUUGCACUAGAGACCAGAUACCAUUGAUGAGAAAAUUACAAGAAAAAUCUUAUUGGCACCCCGAGGUUCAAACCUGGGGCCUUGUGAGCCAAAAUAUAUACGUUUCAACUCACUAGGACAGGCUGACACUUAAGUGCAAUUACAUUUUUUGUAUAUACAUAUUUUUUAAUAUAUUCAAACUGUAAAUUUUGUCAAUAAUUGGUAAAUUA